GACAUUUGGUAGAGACUGUUGAAGCCACCUGGUCCCAGCAGACCCCAGAAAAAGGCCACAUUCGCUGGUGCCAGAACAAGGUCAUUAACAGUGAAGACUGGUGCCAGAUGUGU
rnacentral:rRNA from 1 species